GCCUACUUAACUCAGUGGUUAGAGUAUUGCUUUCAAUACGGGCGGGAGUCAUUGGUUUCAAAUCCAAUAGUAGGUA
rnacentral:tRNA from 1 species